GUUUCUGUAGUGUAGUGGUUAUCACGUUUGCCUCACACGCAGAAGGUCCCCGGUUCGAAACCGGGGGCGGGGAAA